CUGGCCUUCUACUCCGGUCUCCGGGAAAAGCAGUCGGGCAGUGGUGACGUCAAUGAGGCGCCGGCUCUAUCCCGGGCGCCAGCGGCGCUCUUUGAUAACCUCACGCUGCUCGCCCCGCCCCGCUGGCUCCUUUUCCCUAGCCUAAACUCUCAAGCGCCUCAGGCCAAAGCUGUGGAAGGAGUUGCGGCGGGAAGCGGUUACUUUUUACUAGUUACCUGAGGUUAACCUCAGCCUGGAAGCAGAUCAUCCUCCUUCUGAAGAAUUAUUGGAAGGUCAAUAGUAGCCUUACACCAUAUUACAAUGCCUGCAUCAUUCAUGUCACUUUAUCUCAUCACCUGGGCAUUUUGCCAUCUCACACCAUCACGGGAAGGGCUGGAUAGUGAGAAUAAAUAAGCAGGUGAGGCUGCUCUACCACUGAGCCUCCCCACACUCCACUCGUCUUCCAGCCUUGCAGGAGAGGGACUGAUGGAGAGUAAGCUUUGCUCAGACAGGAAAUAGAAGCAGCUCUGGGCUGAGGACUCAAUCUGCUCUUCCUUUCUGGAUGUAGAGUUUGGGCUCAACUUCUCCAAGACCAUUAACCCAGUAAUCUGAGCUCAGUGGCUCCAGCAUCCACAUGACUGGAAACAGAAGGGUUUCGCCUCUUGCUGUUGGAGGGGUUUAACACACUGUGGAGCUUAGUGGAUUUCUUUCAGGUUUUAUUUCAGCUGCCAAGAGCCCAGGGACUCAAGCAUUUUAAAAAGCUCAAGGAAUGUCAGAGAAUUGAGAAGGGACCCAGGGAAUUGGUGUUCGCUGAGCUAUUGCUGGUGUGCCUGGGAUGGAGACCAAGGAGGCCUAGAGAUGUGGCCCAUCCUGAAGAUCUGGCUGAGAGGGCUUUGUGCUGCAGGUCUAGCCUCUUUAGUAAUCUUCUCUGGUAAGACACAAGGGAUGGAUAAAAAUGAGCAAUUAUACUUGAGACAGAUCCGUUCCUUCAGUGGCAAUAUAUUUUCCUCACAUGCUUUUCUCUUCACAGCAAGCAAAUGCAUGUGGAGCCAGUGACUAUGAAGUCGGUCAUAUUAAAUUUACUCAGUUUUCUUCAAGUCUUCAAGCGUGAAGCGUUGCAAACCUUCAUAUGUACACUAGGGAAAGAAAGGAAGAAAAAAAAGAAUUCCACCGCAAGGCCUAAGGAAAAGGCUGUGGAAAGAAAACAGCAAGAUAAAGCAACACAAUUUCAAAUCUUAAUCUCCUGAAAUGGUGCCUUUAAAGCCGCACUUUCCACAUUUCUGAGUGGAGCCCAUCAAAACUCCGUGUCAAAUCAUGUUAUAACCUUGCUUCUUAUCUGUUUGUGAUAGCUUUCAAGGGCCAGUAAUUCCCCCAUAUGUGGCAGAAAAGUUGAUAGUAGAGAUUUGCGCACUUGACUAAGCUUCCUGCAUUGCUUUUUGUGCAGUGCUGGUGAAGGACAGAGAUUUGUUCUCCCUUUCAGAACUAAACAUGCAACUGCCAACGACACAGUCAAGAAGCAAACCAGAAUCACUCACUUGGUCAGGUAAUCUACAGAACGAUGACUUAAUAUUAUAUAUACUCUCUUCUUUUGUCCAGUAAAACACAUAGAUAGGUAGAAUGCCCCUGCCUUUUUUCAAGUAAAAAUUAACAGACAAGACCCCAUUAUUGAGGGAGUGCUUUUUGGUACCCUCUCCCCAGAUGCCCUCCUUUGGCACACCUGUCCCAUCACCAGGCCUGUAGUUCUGGGUGCCAGCUGGCUCCUGGGGUGAAGACAGUGUCAGGGGCUCAGGAAAGGAAACCAUAACACCGGUGGAGACCAUAAUGUCUGUGGAAAGAUUGUGUCAUCUGCCUUGGGAAGGGUGGGAGACAACUCACUUUAUUUCCUUCUCUAUCCACCUAGUGGCACUGACUUCCUGAGGCUUAAACAGGAAGAAGCAGGUGUGACUAGAUCUGAGAGAUCAUGACCUGAGCCAAAGUAGGAUGUUCAACCAACUGAGCCACCCAGGCGCCCCUUGUUUUCUUUUUUUGUUUUUUGUUGUUGUUGUUGUUGUUGUUGUUGUUGUUGUUUUUAAUAAAGAACAGCUUUCUUUAUUUAGAUAGACAACAUUCUGAAACAAAACCAAAAUUAGUUCCUCUUGGCAAACUAAUAUACUUUCUUGUAUUAGGCAUGAUAUCUAUUGUUCCCUUUUUUCCUUGACUGUCCAGAGACUCAAAGCUGUAUUUUGUGCUUCCCUUUGAUUUUUUUAAGUUGUUGUUUUUGUUUUUUGAAUAAGCUCUAUGCCCAACUUGGUGCUUGAACUCAUGACCUUGAGAUCAAGAGUCAUAUGCUCUACCGACUGAGCCAGCUAGGCACCUCCCUUUGAUUUUUUUGACACAGUGAUCUCCCACUCCUUCCCAUCCCUUUCCUCUCCUAACACACAUACACACACACUUACCUGGUAAUCUAUAAAGAUGUAGCAUAGAUAACAUGUGUGUAAUACUGAUUAAAUGUUUCAGAAUUCUUAAAUUCUUAAGUAUUAAUAUGUGCCAAGGUCCUAUUUUUUAUUUUCUUCUGUUUUAUGUAUUUUCAUCUAAAACCUACUGGAUGUCUGAACUCAAUAGAAA